CAGUCGCGCGGAAGGGGCGAAAGGCCCUUCCGUGAGGAAAGUCCGGGCUCCACAGGGCAAGGAUAACGGGUAACGCCCGCCGAAGGCGACUUCAGGAAAAGUGCAACAGAGAUAUACCGCCGCCAAGGCUGCGCCUUGGCGGUAAGGGUGGAAAGGCGAGGUAAGAGCUCACCCGAUGGUGCGUGAAAGUAUCCAUCGCUGUAAACUCUAUUCGGAGCAACACCGGUAUGGGAGCAGGAGCCCCGCGCUCCACGGUCGGCCCGGCCGCUCCCGGGGUGGCUUGAGCGUACCGGCAACGGUGCGUCGAGAUAGAUGACUGUCAGAUACAGAACCCGGCUUACAGUUUUGCUCG
rnacentral:RNase_P_RNA from 1 species